CUGCUGCCUCCCGUAGGAGUCUGGGCCGUGUCUCAGUCCCAAUGUGGCCGGUCACUCUCUCAAGCCGGCUACUGAUCGUUGCUUUGGUAGGCCGUUACCCUGCCAACUGGCUAAUCAGACGCGGGGCCAUCGUAUGCCGAUAAAUCUUUUCACACCAUGCCAUGCAGCAUUGUGUGCUUAUGCGGUAUUAGCAGUCAUUUCUGACUGUUGUCCCCCUGCAUACGGUAGGUUCCCCACG
rnacentral:rRNA from 1 species